GCCUAACACAUGCAAGUCGAACGAGGCCGCUCCUUCGGGAGCGAGUCGAGUGGCGGACGGGUGCGUAACACGUGAGUGACCUGACCCUUUGUGGGGGACAACCCGGGGAAACCCGGGCUAAUACCGCAUAGGCGCAGCCCGUCGAGGGCAGCGUGAAAGCCGGCCUAUCCUUGGAAGCCGGCGCGAGGGGAGGGGCUCGCGGCGUAUCAGCUUGUUGGCGGGGUAACGGCCCACCAAGGCGACGACGCGUAGCGGGUCUGAGAGGACGACCCGCCACAUUGGAACUGAGACACGGUCCAGACUCCUACGGGAGGCAGCAGUGGGGAAUAUUGGACAAUGGCCGCAAGGCUGACCCAGGGACCCCGCGUGCGGGAUGACGCUUUUCGGAGUGUAAACCGCUGUCAGAGGGGAAGAAGUGUUGGGGGGGUGAAUAAUCCCCGGAGCUGACGGUACCUUCAGAGGAAGCGCCGGCUAACUCCGUGCCAGCAGCCGCGGUAAU
rnacentral:rRNA from 1 species